rnacentral:lncRNA from 1 species
UGUGUACAGUGACUCCCACGGCGACAGGUGCGUCAGUCGGGCAGGUACCCGGAAGAAGAGAGAACAAAAAACUGGAGCUUGUUCGAGUUACAGAGUGUGAACCCUUACUGAGACUAAUCUAGCCCAGCUAUAGCCAUGGACCAGAGGAGCCUAGAGGAAGAGUUAAGGAUCAGUUUACAGACGUGGUGUCCAGACUGCAAGUCUAAACAGCUAUUCCAGUCUGAUGGGACAUCGCCUCCUUCCUGUCUUCUUCAUCUUCAUCGGUAGGAAUGCACACGCACAACACCCACACAUACACACACACCACACACACACAUGACACAAUUGACUGUCCACCUUGACCUUUCAGGCAUGGUUCUGCUGCUUGUUGUCCUGGUUUGAUCCGAUGCGUGGCUGCUGCUGCUGAUGAACAGGUAAUGUACAAUCAAUCAAAAAAUGUAUGGCCGUUUCUGUGAGAAAUGUGUGGUGUAUAUAGCCUGGUCCAGAUCUGUUGGUAUCUAUAGCCCAGUCCCAGAUCUGUUGGUAUCUAUAGCCUGGUCCCAGAUCUGUUGGUAUCUAUAGCCUGGUCCCAGAUCUGUUGGUAUCUAUAGCCCGGUCUCAAAUCUGUUGGUAUCUAUAGCCCGUCUCAAAUCUGUUGGUAUCUAUAGCCCGUUCCAAAUCUGUGUGGUAUCUAAGCCGGUCUCAAUCUGUUGGUAUCAUAGCCUGGUCUCAGAUCUGGUGCUCUUGUCAACAUGUUUGGUGUGAGAUGGCAUGAUGCACACAGACUGGCCUCAGGCUGUGGUAUACAGGACCACAUUUCUGAUAUGUCAGCCCCCACAUAGUGUUAAUGAGGGAGUUGUAUUUAUUUUGUUGUACAUUUCAAAUCAUAUCAAAAUGAAGCCGUGUCAUUGACUCUAUCCUGUCAUGGUCAUUCAGACUCUACUGUCACGGUCAUUCAGACUCUACUGUCACGGUCAUUCAGACUCAUCUGUCACGGUCAUUCAGACUCUACUGUCACCGGUCAUUCGACCUAUCUGUCACGGUCAUUCAGACUCUAUCCUGUCAUGGUCAUCAGACUCUAUCCUGUCAGGUCAUUCAGACUCUAUCCUGUCAGGUCAGUCAUCAACUCACUGUCAAUCGGUCAUCAGACUCUACUGUCACAGUCAUUCAGACUCUACUGUCACGGUCAUUAGACUCACUGUCAGGUCAUUCAGACUCUAUCCUGUCUUGCCAUGGCAUUCAGACUCUAUCCUGUCUUGUCAUGGUCAUUCAGACUGUACCUGUUUGUUCAUUGGUCAUUCAGACUCUAUCCCUGUUUGUCAUGGUCAUUCAGACUCUAUCCGUGUCUUGGGUCAUGUUCAUUCAGACUCUAUCCUGUCUUGUCAUGUUCAUUUGACUCUACCUGUCUUGUCAUGGUCAUCAGACUCUAGCCUGUCUUGUGUCAUGGUCAUUCAGACUCUAUCCUGUCUGUCAUGGUCAUUCAGACUGCUACCUGUUUGUUCAUGGUGA